AUUGAACGCUGGCGGAAUGCUUUACACAUGCAAGUCGAGCGGCAGCACGGGGGCAACCCUGGGGGCGAGCGGCGAACGGGGGAGAAAUACAUCGGAACAUGCCCGGCGGUGGGGGAUAACACUUCGAAAGAGGUGCUAAUCCCGCAUACGUCCGGAGGGAGAAAGCGGGGGAUCUUCGAACCUCGCGCGAUGGGAGUGCCGGGUGUCAGAUUGGCUAGUGGGUGGGGUAAAGGCCUACCAAGGCAACGAUCUGUAGCUGGUCUGGGAGGAUGAUCAGCCACACUGGGACUGAGACACGGCCCAGACUCCUACGGGAGGCAGCAGUGGGGAAUUUUGGACGAUGGGGGCAACCCUGAUCCAGCCAUUCCGCGUGAGUGAAGAAGGCCUUCGGGUUGUAAAGCUCUUUCGGCAGGAACGAAACGGCGAGCUCUAACAUAGCUUGCUAAUGACGGUACCUGAAGAAGAAGCACCGGCUAACUACGUGCCAGCCGCCGCAGUAAAAC
rnacentral:rRNA from 1 species